CUAAUUCCCAGAAAUCAUUCUUUAGGACCUUCCAUCUUCCUCUUACUUUGUCAUUGGUACCAACAUGGACCAUGACCGCUGGGUCAUCCCCAGCCCCUCCCAAUAAUCCAUCCACUCUGUCAGCAACAUGCCGGACCCGAGCACCCGGGAGACAGCAUACUGUCCGGUUGAACCGAUCAGAGCGGCAGAUUGCCCUAUCUGCUCUCCUAAUGAUAGAGUCCCCUACCACCUCAAGCUGUCUUGCCUUCCUUACAUUUUGAUCCC